UACGGAGGGUGCAAGCGUUAUCCGGAUUUACUGGGUUUAAAGGGUGCGUAGGUGGGUUGGUAAGUCAGUGGUGAAAUACUUUCGCUUAACGAAGGAACUGCCAUUGAUACUACCAGUCUUGAAUACAGUGGAGGUAGGCGGAAUGCGUCAUGUAGCGGUGAAAUGCUUAGAUAUGACGCAGAACACCAAUUGCGAAGGCAGCUUGCUACACUGUUAUUGACACUGAGGCCCGAAAGCGUGGGGAUCAAACAGG
rnacentral:rRNA from 1 species